AUUGAACGCUGGCGGCAGGCCUAACACAUGCAAGUCGAGCGAGCGGCGGACGGGUGAGUAAUGUCUGGGAAACUGCCUGUUGGAGGGGGCUAACUCCUGGAGACGGUAGCUAAUAACGCAUCCCAUCAAGUGUGCCCAGGUGGGGUUAGCUAGUAGGUGGGGUAACGGCUCACCUAGGCGACGAUCCCUAGCUGGUCUGAGAGGAUGACCAGCCACACUGGAACGGAGACACGGUCCAGACUCCUACGGGAGGCAGCAGUGGGGAAUAUUGGACAAUGGGCGCAAGCCUGAUGCAGCCAUGCCGCGUGUGUGAAGAAGGCCUUCGGGUUGUAAAGCACUUUCAGCGGGGAGGCGUUACCCGCAGAAGAAGCACCGGCUAACUCCGUGCCAGCAGCCACGGUAAUUC
rnacentral:rRNA from 1 species